UGGUUCAGAACGAACGCUGGCGGCGUGCCUAAUACAUGCAAGUCGAGCGAACUGAUUAGAAGCUUGCUUCUAUGACGUUAGUGGCGGACGGGUGAGUAACAUGUGGGCAACCUGCCUGUAAGACUCGGAUAACUUCGGGAAACCGAAGCUAAUACCGCAUAGAAUCUUAUCCUUCAUGAGAGAAGAGUGAAAGAUGGUUUCGGAUAUCAUUUACAGAAGGGCCCGCGGUGCAUUAUCUAGUUGGUGAGGUUAUUUCUCACCAAGGC
rnacentral:rRNA from 1 species